GUCCACGCCGUAAACGAUGCUAACUCGUUUUGGGCGCAAGCUUCAGAGACCAAGCGAAAGUGAUAAGUUAGCCACCUGGGGAGUACGUUCGCAAGAAUGAAACUCAAAGGAAUUGACGGGGCCCGCACAAGCGGUGGAUUAUGUGGUUUAAUUCGAUGAUACGCGAGGAACCUUACCAAGGCUUAAAUGGGAAAUGACAGAUUUAGAAAUAGAUCCUUCUUCGGACAUUUUUCAAGGUGCUGCAUGGUUGUCGU
rnacentral:rRNA from 1 species